UACGUAGGGGCUAGCGUUGUCCGGAAUCAUUGGCGUAAAGCGCGUGUAGGCGGUCCGGUAAGUCCGCUGUGAAAGUCGGGGGCUCAACCCUCGGAUGCCGGUGGAUACUGUCGGGCUUGAGUACGGAAGAGGCGAGUGGAAUUCCUGGUGUAGCGGUGAAAUGCGCAGAUAUCAAGGAGGAACACCAAUUGCGAAGGCAGCUCGCUGGGACGUUACUGACGCUGAGACGCGAAAGCGUGGGAGCAAACAGG
rnacentral:rRNA from 1 species